GACGAACGCUGGCGGCGUGCUUAACACAUGCAAGCCGAACGAUGAAGCACCAGCUUGCUGGUGUGGAUUAGUGGCGAACGGGUGAGUAACACGUGAGUAACCUGCCCCUCACUCUGGGAUAAGCCUGGGAAACUGGGUCUAAUACUGGAUACGACCGAUCUCCGCAUGGAGUGUUGGUGGAAAGUUUUUGUGGUGGGGGAUGGACUCGCGGCCUAUCAGCUUGUUGGUGGGGUAGUGGCCUACCAAGGCGACGACGGGUAGCCGGCCUGAGAGGGCGACCGGCCACACUGGGACUGAGACACGGCCCAGACUCCUACGGGAGGCAGCAGUGGGGAAUAUUGCACAAUGGGCGAAAGCCUGAUGCAGCGACGCCGCGUGAGGGAUGACGGCCUUCGGGUUGUAAACCUCUUUCGCCAGGGACGAAGCUAACGUGACGGUACCUGGAGAAGAAGCACCGGCUAACUACGUG
rnacentral:rRNA from 1 species